rnacentral:rRNA from 1 species
GGGCGUGUGUGCUGGUAUGAGUCUUCCAUCCUUCUAGAGAGCCACGCCUGCUGUUCACUCAGCUGGGCGUGUGCGAUCUAGAUCAUUUACUUUGAAAAAAUUAGAGUGUUUAAAGCAGGCUUAUGCCCGAAUACAUUAGCAUGGAAUAAUAAAAUAGGACUUCGGUUCUAUUUUGUUGGUUUCUAGAACUGAAGUAAUGAUUGAUAGGGAUAGUUGGGGGUGCUAGUACUCAGUGGCCAGAGGUGAAAUUCUUGGAUUCACUGAAGACUAACUACUGCGAAAGCAUUCACCAAGGAUGUCUUCUUUAAUCAAGAACGAAAGUUGGGGGAUCGAAGACGAUCAGAUACCGUCGUAGUCUCAACCAUAAACUAUACCGACUAAGGAUCAGUGGACGUCUUAUUUCGACUCCAUUGGCACUUUAUGAGAAAUCAAAGUCUUUGGGUUCCGGGGGGAGUAUGGUCGCAAGGCUGAAACUUAAAGGAAUUGACGGAAGGGCACCACCAGGAGUGGAGCCUGCGGCUUAAUUUGACUCAACACGGGAAACCUUACCAGGUCCGGACAUGGAGAGGAUUGACAGAUUGAAGAUCUUUCUAGAUUCUAUGGGUGGUGGUGCAUGGCCGUUCUUAGUUGGUGGAGUGAUUUGUCUGGUUUAUUCCGUUAACGAACGAGACCUCGGCCUUUAACUAGUCCCUCUGUCCAUUACGGAUGGAGGUCACUUCUUAGAGGGACAAACGG